GCGACGAGUAUAGGUCUGGCGGUGGCUCGACGUCACGUCGGAGGGAGACACGUGUGUUUGGUUCCUGAUGAGAGAUCGAGGGGAGAAUAUUCGAGAGCGAUGGAGAGAGCGGGAUUAGCGCCGGAAGUGAUCGUCGGAGAGCCGGAGGAGGUUAUGGAAGGAUUAGUAGGUAUAGAUUUUCUUGUGGUGGAUAGUCAGAGGAGGAAUUUCAGUCGAGUUUUGAAACUCGCGAAUCUGAGUUCUAG
rnacentral:misc_RNA from 1 species